UUCGGGAACUCUGAGACAGGUGCUGCAUGGCUGUCGUCAGCUCGUGUUGUGAAAUGUUGGGUUAAGUCCCGCAACGAGCGCAACCCUUAUCCUUUGUUGCCAGCGAUUCGGUCGGGAACUCAAAGGAGACUGCCGGUGAUAAACCGGAGGAAGGUGGGGAUGACGUCAAGUCAUCAUGGCCCUUACGAGUAGGGCUACACACGUGCUACAAUGGCGUAUACAAAGAGAAGCGACCUCGCGAGAGCAAGCGGAACUCAUAAAGUACGUCGUAGUCCGGAUUGGAGUCUGCAACUCGACUCCAUGAAGUCGGAAUCGCUAGUAAUCGUAGAUCAGAAUGCUACGGUGAAUAC
rnacentral:rRNA from 1 species